rnacentral:lncRNA from 1 species
GUCCUGGUGCUGUUAGUGGUGGCCGUUUGUCUGCUGCUAGCACUUAAAGGGAGACGGGGUUUUACCAUGUUGCUCAGCCUAGUAUUGAAAUCCUGGACUCAAGCAAUCUGACCACCUACGCCUCCCAAACUGCUGGGAUUACAGGUAGUCCAGGCGGGUCAGGAAGCAGGAGUGGAGGAUGUCUUCUUGACCUAUGAGAUAAGAAAAACAAACCCAUCUGACGCAGGAAUGGCAUUUGUUCCAAUGCCUAAUUUUAGAAGCAGAGUGUAAGGAGAUGAGUUGAAGCAUACAUGAGUAAUACCAAUAAAAAGUUGAGAUGGAAUGUUCUUGUUCUCAACUUGAAUGCUGGGCUGUGGAACCAAAGUGCACAGGAUUUUGCAAACAAAUAACUGUCCAUAGAUUAUCGUUUUCUACUGGAGGGUCUGAGAGAG